UAAAAGGCUAUGACGGAAAAGAGUAAGCUGGUUUCCAGGUGAAAAAGCGAGUCCGGUUUGGUGAAAGCGGACACUAUGGCCCAGUUGAAAAUCGUUCCAGAGCCGCCAUCCGAAAGGGCUGCCCCAGGCUGUCCGAGUAAGCAUGGCCGGGUCCGCCGCCCGUUAAGCAAGGCGAAGAUGUGAAUACGCAUCUUACCGAGUGGGCCGUCCUUAAAACACGGUCAAGAAGGGUGGUAUCGCGGGCUUGUCUCGUCCCUAUU
rnacentral:ncRNA from 1 species